rnacentral:rRNA from 1 species
AUUGAACGCUGGCGGCAGGCCUAACACAUGCAAGUCGAACGAGUGGCGGACGGGUGAGUAAUGUCUGGGAAACUGCCUGAUGGAGGGGGAUAACUACUGGAAACGGUAGCUAAUACCGCAUACCAUCAGAUGUGCCCAGAUGGGAUUAGCUUGUUGGUGGGGUAACGGCUCACCAAGGCGACGAACCCUAGCUGGUCUGAGAGGAUGACCGGCCAAACGGGAACGGGGAACCGGUCAAGACCCCUAGGGGAGGCAGAAGUGGGAAUUAUUGGAAAUUGGGCGCAAGCCUGAUGCGGCCAGGCCGCGUGUAUGAGGAGGGCCUUCGGGUUGUAAGGUACUUUCAGCGGGGAGGCGUUACCCGCAGAGGAAGCACCGGCUAACUCCGUGCCAGCAGCCGCGGUAAUAC